GUUUCAUGCUCAUUUAUACUAUAGAGUGUAAAAUAUAAUAAAAAGGCUUACACAUUUCCUAUUUACAAUGCAAACCGUGCUAUUUUUGCAUGUUAUAAAAAAAAUUCCACUCUGCUGUGUUUCACAUGAAUAACUUCCUGAUACAUUAUUUCAAGUCCGAUUCAUGGUAUAUGCGUAUGUGUGAUCAUGUCUAUAUGAGUAAAUAGUUUAACAUGAUAGGGUGACCAGAUGUAAGAUCUAGGUGCAAGAUGUUUCCUGCAAGCUUACAUGGAAAUAUUUGCUGUUCAAGGCUGCAAGGAAGACUCUCUUCAUCUAAACGCCCAACAUAUCUGUUUGUUCCGAGCAAAAACACCUAUCAUAGAUCCAAGCUGCAGUGGUACAGAAGCUGGCAGAACAUUAAGAUAAGAGUUUUCGCAAAAAUAUGAAUAUCUGGGUUAUCCCUGACGCUCUGGAGACACCCGAGAGUCCGCAUUUCUUGUGAUGCCUUUUCCAUCAUGUCUUACCUCAUAAGCUCAUAGAUGGCUCCUAUAGGAUCUAUACACCAGCUAAAUCCCCUACCUCCGUCUCUAGAGAUCUAAUUGUACAGUUUGUCACACAUCCUAACAAGAUAUCAGUUAUGGCAGCUGUCAGAGAUUCCCCUUCUUUGGAAUUCGAGCAAUAUUGACUGUCUUUCUAUUCUGACUUAUUUAGGUCCACACUACAAUGGAGACGGUCUUUUCACCCUGUUUCCAUUGUUCUGCAGGACAAAAUAUACCCUAUUGUUGGGACAACCUAAGAUUUCUACAGAUCUUUAGUCCACUAAAGAUUGGACUACACAUAAGUAACUUACUGCUGCAGACUCACAGGCUUUCCUUGCUGUGUUGGGAGUCCCUCUAAACGCGGUUCCCAAGCAUCGUUGGGACAUAACUAUCAUCAUGCCAUUUGUGCCUGCUUGGUGACCUACUUUAACUGAUGGCCCUGGUAAAAGAAACCGUGUGCGAUUUCUCCGGUGUCUUUAUUGCUUUUUGUUUAUUUCUUUUGAUAUAUGAAUGGUAUUUCUUGUAGCAUUUAUUGCUUUAGCCUGGAUCCCACAUAAUGUAUAGCAGAUACAGCAGCUAAACUCAUUACUCCUUGAAUUCUUAUUGUACU